rnacentral:rRNA from 1 species
UACGGAGGGUGCAAACGUUGCUCGGAAUCAUUGGGCGUAAAGCGCACGUAGGCGGCUUGUUAAGUCGGAUGUGAAAGCCCUCGGCUCAACCGAGGAAGUGCAUACGAAACUGGCAAGCUUGAAUAUGGAAGAGGGUCGCGGAAUUCCCGGUGUAGAGGUGAAAUUCGUAGAUAUCGGGAGGAACACCAGUGGCGAAGGCGGCGACCUGGGCCAAUAUUGACGCUGAGGUGCGAAAGCGUGGGGAGCAAACAGG